AAUGUGUGCUCCUGGCAUGCGUAAGCAGCAACAGGCAGGGUAACUGGACUGGACUAUUGAUACAGGCAUGUUCUCCAUGGUCUUCAUUUCACUUGAUCUUCAGCAUACGUCCUUUAGGAGCCACAUGCCAGAUCAUAGCGGCCUCUACUUGGAAAUGCUCAAGCAUUAAUGAUGUAGAUCGGCUGUGCUAUUUCCCCCUCAGCCCAGUGACUCUUCUCUGGCUUUCCUGAACAGGUCCUUGAAGAGAUAUUAUUUAUGAAGUGGAGAAAUAAAGGACUUCAAUUCAAAUGAUGUAAUAGCAAAUCUGAUUAAUGGAAUCCAUGUGAAAUUCUUGACAUUCAUUUGGCCUAAUUGAAUGCCUAAUCAUGACUCCCAGAUGUUAGACAUUUUUUUAAUGGAGAACAUCUUUUUUCUGACCCUAAAACAUGUGUUCUGGCACCAAGAGAAGCACUCUAGGAUCUGAGUUCUUUUUGUGAGCUGCUGCCUAAAUUCUGAGUCCUAGAGAACACUAUUAAUGAUGGUGCACAGAAGACAGAGAGGUAUAAACUGCAUCAGUUUCUUUACAUGCGGGAGGACCUACAUGAUCUGAGAAGAGACCUGACCUUUGAAAACCUCAUUUCAAUCUCAACAUGUGACCUCAGAGAAACUCAUUUGCUCUUUGGAAAGUUUUUAAGAUUUACAACCAAGG